GAUGAACGCUGGCGGCGUGCCUAAUACAUGCAAGUCGAGCGAACGGACGAGAAGCUUGCUUCUCUGAUGUUAGCGGCGGACGGGUGAGUAACACGUGGAUAACCUACCUAUAAGACUGGGAUAACUUCGGGAAACCGGAGCUAAUACCGGAUAAUAUUUUGAACCGCAUGGUUCAAAAGUGAAAGACGGUCUUGCUGUCACUUAUAGAUGGAUCCGCGCUGCAUUAGCUAGUUGGUAAGGUAACGGCUUACCAAGGCAACGAUGCAUAGCCGACCGGAGAGGGUGAUCGGCCACCCUGGAGCUGGGACACGCUCCAGACUCCUACGGGAGGCAGCAGUAGGGUAUCUUCCGCAAUGGGCGAAAGCAUGACGGAGCAACGCGGAGUGAGUGAUGAAGGUCUUCGGAUCGUAAAACUCUGUUAUUAGGGAAGAACAUAUGUGUAAGUAACUGAGCACAGCUUGACGGUACCUAAUCAGAAAGCCACGGCUAACUACGUG
rnacentral:rRNA from 1 species